rnacentral:rRNA from 1 species
AGUGAACGCUGGCGGUAGGCCUAACACAUGCAAGUCGAACGGCAGCACAGUAAGAGCUUGCUCUUACGGGUGGCGAGUGGCGGACGGGUGAGGAAUACAUCGGAAUCUACUUUUUCGUGGGGGAUAACGUAGGGAAACUUACGCUAAUACCGCAUACGACCUACGGGUGAAAGCAGGGGAUCUUCGGACCUUGCGCGAUUGAAUGAGCCGGUGUCGGAUUAGCUAGUUGGCGGGGUAAAGGCCCACCAAGGCGACGAUCCGUAGCUGGUCUGAGAGGAUAACCAGCCACCUGUGAACUGAGAACGGUCCCGAACUCCUAGGGGAGGAAGCAUGGGGAAAAUUGGACAAAGGGGCGCAAGCCUGACCCAGCCUACCCGCUGGGUGGAAGAAGCCCUUGGGGUUUUAAAGCCCUUUUGUUGGGAAAAAAAAGCAGCAGGUUAAUCCCCCGCUUUUUUGGCGGUACCAAAAAAAGAAGCACCGGCUAACUUCUU